rnacentral:rRNA from 1 species
CAGCAGCCGCGGGAAUACGUAGGUGGCAAGCGUUGUCCGGAAUUAUUGGGCGUAAAGGGCUCGCAGGCGGUUUCUUAAGUCUGAUGUGAAAGCCCCCGGCUCAACCGGGGAGGGUCAUUGGAAACUGGGAAACUUGAGUGCAGAAGAGGAGAGUGGAAUUCCACGUGUAGCGGUGAAAUGCGUAGAGAUGUGGAGGAACACCAGUGGCGAAGGCGACUCUCUGGUCUGUAACUGACGCUGAGGAGCGAAAGCGUGGGGAGCGAACAGGACUAGAUACCCCCGUAGUCCCUGUCUCUUAUAC